rnacentral:rRNA from 1 species
AGGAUAAACGCUGGCGGCGUGCCUAACACAUGCAAGUCGAACGUCCUACGCAAGUAGGGAGUGGCGGACGGGUGAGUAACACGUGGGCAAUCUACCUUUCGGUGAGGAAUACCGGCGAGAAAUCGCCGACAAUACCGCAUACGCUUCGCAAGAAGCAAAGUCGCAAGACGCCGGAGGAGGAGCCUGCGCCCGAUUAGCUGGUUGGUGGAGUAAUGGCCUACCAAGGCGACGACGGGUAG